rnacentral:rRNA from 1 species
GACAGAGGUGCCGAGCGUUAGGCGGAAUCACUGGGCUUAAAGCGUGUGUAGGCGGGCCGUUAAGUGUCUUGUGAAAUCCCCCGGCUCAACCGGGGAAUUGCUGGGCAUACUGGCGGUCUUGAGCAAUCUAGGGGCAGAUGGAACAAGUGGAGGAGCGGUGAAAUGCGUAGAUAUCACUUGGAACGCCAAAGGUGAAGACAGUCUGCUGGGGAUUUGCUGACGCUGAGACACGAAAGCCAGGGGAGCGAACGGG